rnacentral:rRNA from 1 species
UCGGGAAUUUUGGGCAAUGGGCGAAAGCCUGACCCAGCAACGCCGCGUGAAGGAUGAAGUAUUUCGGUAUGUAAACUUCGUAAGAAUAGGAAGAAUAAAUGACGGUACUAUUUGUAAGGUCCGGCUAACUACGUGCCAGCAGCCGCGGUAAUACGUAGGGACCAAGCGUUGUUCGGAUUUACUGGGCGUAAAGGGCGCGUAGGCGGUGUGUCAAGUCAGUUGUGAAAUCUCCGAGCUUAACUCGGAACGGUCAACUGAUACUGUCACACUAGAGUACAGAAGGGGCAAUCGGAAUUCUUGGUGUAGCGGUGAAAUGCGUAGAUAUCAAGAGGAACACCUGAGGUGAAGACGGGUUGCUGGGCUGACACUGACGCUGAGGCGCGAAAGCUAGGGUAGCAAACGGGAUUAGAUACCCCCGUAGUCCCUGAGCGGGCUGGCAAGGCGCAU